UACGUAGGGUGCGAGCGUUAAUCGGAAUUACUGGGCGUAAAGCGUGCGCAGGCGGUUUUGUAAGCCAGAUGUGAAAUCCCCGGGCUUAACCUGGGAAUGGCAUUUGGGACUGCAAGGCUCGAGUGCGGCAGAGGAGACUGGAAUUCCUGGUGUAGCAGUGAAAUUCGUAGAUAUCGGGAGGAACACCAGUGGCGAAGGCGGCGAUCUGGGAAGAUACUGACGCUGAGGUGCGAAAGCGUGGGGAGCAAACAGG
rnacentral:rRNA from 1 species